rnacentral:miRNA from 1 species
AAAGUCUCGCUCUCUGCCCCUCA